UGUGGGUUUGAGGUCUCACUGUCCGUAAGAAAAGGAAUAUGGCUCAGCUUUGGAAAGAGAGAGCAGGGUGGAAUCUCGCUUUGUCACCGUGUGACAUGGGGCCAAUUAUUUAACCUCUUUACUAAGCCUCACUUUCAGCACCUGGAAACUGAGAUGCAAAUAGUAGCCCUCUCACGGGGCUGUCCGUGAGGUUUCCAUGAGAUAAUCUAUGUGAAGCCCAGAGCACAGAGCCUGGUGCCGGAAAACCCCUAAUAACAGGGCCUGUGUUAACCUGGCAUCCAGCAAGCCCAGGGGCUUAAGGGGUAGGCAGUGUUUGUUUCCUACCAGGAAACCAAGGAGAGCUUAACAUGGCCCCAUGAAGACUUGGAGCAGGGCACUGUGGGUCCUUUCCCAGCUCACUUUCCGACCUGUCCAGGGAUCUGUCCUGUUCUGGAUAGCAGCCCCCAAAGAAGGCUCUGGUUCCGCCUCUCCCACCUGCACUCAGCUUUCCAUGAAUUUGUCUAUGCAUGUAUAAAUAUGUAUUUUUUUCUUCUUUUUUACACAAAUCGUAGCCCCUCUCCAUUUCCACUACCAAUAAUUCUUGGAACUCAUUCCAUAUCCGUACGUAUAGAGCUUCCUGAUUCUUCUUUAAGCCCGAGUGAUACCCCACUGUAUGGAUGUAUGCAGUUUAUUUCCCACAGAUUGUCUGGUGCCUCCCCCAGAAGCAUGCCACCCACUUUGGAGAUCUCUGGAUCACACAUUGUUUCCUGUGAACUUCAGCUUAACUGUGAUGAUCCUGGCCAAUCCCGAAGUUUUCCCAGGAAGUGACACCCAAGUUGGGUCCUGAAGGAUGAAGAGGAGUUGGCAGAGGAGGGAUGGGAGGAAGGGCAGGAGGAACCACACAUAUGAAGGUGAAGAGGCAAGAAUCGACCUGGAACAAUGGGAGAAAUGCAGUUCUCUCCACACUCUGGGAGGUGAAGUGAGAAUCAGCACCAGGUCCUGAAGAGUAGGACUGCAAGGCUGGGGAUGUGGGAUUUCAUCCUAAACGGUAACCCGGAGCUGUCAGC